GGAACCAAAGCUGGAGGUAAAAAGCCAGAAAGCAAGCCCCCCGGGCCUGAGCCAGCAGCACCUCCACGUCCACCUCCAUCUCCUGGACCUGGCCGUCCCCGACCUGGUGGUCCGCCAAACGGUAAUUGUAUCAGAAAAGUAGUAAAGUUUGGAAGACUGCUAAAAAUAAUCCAGAUCUGCAGGAAUCCCAAUGAUGACAAAACAACAAGCACAACACAGACCCAAGUGAAUUCAAAGGAAACAUGAAACGGGGGAACGUACUUGAUAAUGAUGAUGAUGCAUAAAUGAAUAAAAUUGAUUGGGGAAAGUACAAACGGGAUAUCUCUUGCGUCACGCUGCAUCCUUGAAUUAUAAAGAAGAAUAAUGCACUUAAUAUAUUAACCUUAACCAUGUAUAGAAUUCUAUGCACGUUCGCUGCCCACAUAAUAGCCCAGAUAUUUAAUUCACUAUUAGCACUUCUGUUUCCUCAGAAAUCAGAGAGGAGGGCAGGGGUUAAAAUGUAAGCAUUUUCUCAUCAUAUUCAAUCGUUUGUAAUAGAUAAAAGCCUUUCAUCGACCGAGUAGCCUAAGGAGUUUAAAAGCUAGAAACCAAAGGCUUUCUUACGGCUGGCCACAUAUUCGUAGUAAAAGGAAAACACACCAGGAGUAAGAGAUCUACGAGAUACUUCAGGAAAAAAAUGAUGAAGUGGGACAAUGA